CGCCUACGGGACGCAGCAGUGGGGAAUAUUGCACAAUGGGGGGAACCCUGAUGCAGCGACGCCGCGUGGGUGAGGAAGUACUUCGGUAUGUAAAGCCCUAUCAGCAGGGAAGAAAAUGACGGUACCUGACUAAGAAGCCCCGGCUAACUACGUGCCAGCAGCCGCGGUAAUACGUAGGGGGCAAGCGUUAUCCGGAUUUACUGGGUGUAAAGGGAGCGUAGACGGCGUGCCAAGUCUGAUGUGAAAGGCCGGGGCUCAACCCCGGGACUGCAUUGGAAACUGUUAAGCUAGAGUGCUGGAGCGGU
rnacentral:rRNA from 1 species